AACUUUAGGUGAUUUUUUGAGUUUUUAAGCCUGGAGGAGAAUAUUUAAUCCUAAAUUGUGAUCAUUCGCUGUCUGGUGGCCAUAACUGUGAUUAAAAUAUUACUUUGUACCUACCCCGUGAAAAUUCCUGGCAUUAUCAUCGCCUUAUGAUUUAUCAAGCUUAGUUCAUACUUGCCAUACAUCUUUGAUUCACGAAUAGGCGGAAAUCCUUAGCAAUUAGAUAUGUGGAAUUAUUUCCUUUUUCUGAAAAGUGAGGAUUGGAAUACAUACACUUCUCAUCUUACAUAUCUGGCAAUAUAUUGCG